GACGAACGCUGGCAGCGUGCCUAAUACAUGCAAGUCGAGCGGACAGAAGGGAGCUUGCUCCCGGAAGUUAGCGGCGGACGGGUGAGUAACACGUGGGCAACCUACCCUGUAGAUCGGGAUAACAUCGAGAAAUCGGUGCUAAUACCGGAUAAUCAUUUGAAGUGCAUGCUUCGAAUGUAAAAGAUGGCUCCGGCUAUCACUACGGGAUGGGCCCGCGGCGCAUUAGCUAGUUGGUAAGGUAAUGGCUUACCAAGGCAACGAUGCGUAGCCGACCUGAGAGGGUGAUCGGCCACACUGGGACUGAGACACGGCCCAGACUCCUACGGGAGGAAGCAGUAGGGAAUCUUCCGCAAUGGACGAAAGUCUGACGGAGCAACGCCGCGUGAGUGAUGAAGGUUUUCGGAUCGUAAAGCUCUGUUGUUAGGGAAGAACAAGUGCCGUUUGAAUAAGGCGGCACCUUGACGGUACCUUACCAGAAAGCCACGGCUAACUACGUGCCAGCCGCCGCCGUAAGAC
rnacentral:rRNA from 1 species